rnacentral:rRNA from 1 species
AUGGAACGCUGGCGGCAGGCCUAACACCUGCAAGUCGAACGGUAGCACAGAGGAGCUUGCUCCUUGGGUGACGAGUGGCGGACGGGUGAGUAAUGUUUGGGAAACUGCCCGAUGGAGGGGGAUAAAUACUGGAAACGGUAGCUAAUACCGCAUAAUGUCGCCAGACCAAAGAGGGGGACCUUCGGGCCUCUUGCCCUUGGAUGUGCCCCGAUGGGAUUAGCUAGUAGGUGGGGUAACGGCUCACCUAGGGGACGAUCCCUAGCUGGUUUGAGAGGAUGACCCGCCCCCCUGGAAAUGAGACCCGGUCCCGACUCCUUCGGGAGGCAGCCGUGGGGAAUAUUGCCCAAUGGGCGCAAGCCUGAUGCAGCCCUGCCGCGUGUAUGAAGAAGGCCUUCGGGUUGUAAAGUACUUUCAGCGAGGAGGAAGGCGUUGUGGUUAAUAACCGCAACGAUUGACGUUACUCGCCGAAGAAGCCCCGGCUAACUCCGUGCCCGCC